rnacentral:rRNA from 1 species
CCUACGGGAGGCAGCAGUGGGGAAUAUUGGACAAUGGGGGAACCCUGAACCAACGACGCCGCGUGAGUGAAGAAGGAUUUCGGUAUGUAAAGGCCUAUCAGCCGGGAAGAAAGAAAUGACGGUACCUGACUAAGAAGCCCCGGCCAAAUACGUGCCAGCAGCCGCGGUAAUACGUAGGGGGCAAGCGGUAGCCGGAUUUACUGGGUGUAAAGGGAGCGUAGACGGCGAUGCAAGUCUGAAGUGAAAGGCGGGGGCCCAACCUCCGGACUGCUUUGGAAACUGUAUGGCUGGAGUGCAGGAGAGGUAAGUGGAAUUCCUAGUGUAGCGGUGAAAUGCGUAGAUAUUAGGAGGAACACCAGUGGCGAAGGCGGCUUACUGGACUGUAACUGACGUUGAGGCUCGAAAGCGUGGGGAGCAAACAGGAUUAGAUACCCCAGUAGUC